rnacentral:rRNA from 1 species
UACGUAGGGGGCAAGCGUUGUCCGGAUUUAUUGGGCGUAAAGAGCGUGUAGGCGGCCAUACAGGUCAGCUGUGAAAACUCGAGGCUCAACCUCGAGACGUCGGUUGAAACCGUGUGGCUAGAGUCCGGAAGAGGAGAGUGGAAUUCCCGGUGUAGCGGUGAAAUGCGCAGAUAUCGGGAAGAACACCCGUGGCGAAGGCGGCUCUCUGGGACGGUACUGACGCUGAGGCGCGAAAGCUAGGGGAGCAAACAGG